GACGAACGCUGGCGGCGUGCUUAACACAUGCAAGUCGAGCGGUAAGGCCCUUUCGGGGGUACACGAGCGGCGAACGGGUGAGUAACACGUGGGUGACCUGCCCUCAGCUCUGGGAUAAGCCUGGGAAACCGGGUCUAAUACCGGAUAUGACUCCAUGACGCAUGUUGUGGGGUGGAAAGCCUUGUGCGGCUGAGGAUGGGCCCGCGGCCUAUCAGCUUGUUGGUGGGGUGAUGGCCUACCAAGGCGACGACGGGUAGCCGGCCUGAGAGGGCGACCGGCCACACUGGGACUGAGACACGGCCCAGACUCCUACGGGAGGCAGCAGU
rnacentral:rRNA from 1 species